AUCUAAGUACCCCGAGGAAAAGAAAUCAACCGAGAUUCCCCCAGUAGCGGCGAGCGAACGGGGAGGAGCCCAGAGCCUGAAUCAGCAUGUGUGUUAGUGGAAGCGUCUGGAAAGGCGCGCGAUACAGGGUGACAGCCCCGUACACAAAAGCGCAUGUGCUGUGAGCUCGAUGAGUAGGGCGGGACACGUGGUAUCCUGUCUGAAUAUGGGGGGACCAUCCUCCAAGGCUAAAUACUCCUGACUGACCGAUAGUGAACCAGUACCGUGAGGGAAAGGCGAAAAGAACCCCGGCGAGGGGAGUGAAAAAGAACCUGAAACCGUGUACGUACAAGCAGUGGGAGCCCCACCACCAAAGCGUUUCGCUUUGUGUGGUGCACAAAGAAGCGUAACGACAGCACUGAAUGACGGUUAACGGAGCGCAAGCGACGUUCAACAUACAAAGUCAAGCAGUGGAGCGCUUUGGGGUGGGGUGACUGCGUACCUUUUGUAUAAUGGGUCAGCGACUUAUAUUCUGUAGCAAGGUUAACCGUAUAGGGGAGCCGCAGGGAAACCGAGUCUUAAUUGGGCGUUAAGUUGCAGGGUAUAGACCCGAAACCCGGUGAUCUAGCCAUGGGCAGGUUGAAGGUUGGGUAACACUAACUGGAGGACCGAACCGACUAAUGUUGAAAAAUUAGCGGAUGACCUGUGGCUGGGGGUGAAAGGCCAAUCAAACCGGGAGAUAGCUGGUUCUCCCCGAAAGCUAUUUAGGUAGCGCCUCGUGAAUUCAUCUCCGGGGGUAGAGCACUGUUUCGGCUAGGGGGCCAUCCCGGCUUACCAACCCGAUGCAAACUGCGAAUACCGGAGAAUGUUAUCACGGGAGACACACGGCGGGUGCUAACGUCCGUCGUGAAGAGGGAAACAACCCAGACCGCCAGCUAAGGUCCCAAAGUCAUGGUUAAGUGGGAAACGAUGUGGGAAGGCCCAGACAGCCAGGAUGUUGGCUUAGAAGCAGCCAUCAUUUAAAGAAAGCGUAAUAGCUCACUGGUCGAGUCGGCCUGCGCGGAAGAUGUAACGGGGCUAAACCAUGCACCGAAGCUGCGGCAGCGACGCUGAUGCGUUGUUGGGUAGGGGAGCGUUCUGUAAGCCUGCGAAGGUGGCCUGUGAGGGUUGCUGGAGGUAUCAGAAGUGCGAAUGCUGACAUAAGUAACGAUAAAGCGGGUGAAAAGCCCGCUCGCCGGAAGACCAAGGGUUCCUGUCCAACGUUAAUCGGGGCAGGGUGAGUCGACCCCUAAGGCGAGGCCGAAAGGCGUAGUCGAUGGGAAACGGGUUAAUAUUCCCGUACUUGGUGUUACUGCGAAGGGGGGACGGAGAAGGCUAUGUUGGCCGGGCGACGGUUGUCCCGGUUUAAGCGUGUAGGUGUGUGUUCCAGGUAAAUCCGGUU
rnacentral:rRNA from 1 species